UUUUGACGAAAGAACGACGUCGAAGUUGAGACGACACGGAAAUAUCGCGCAUGGGCGGAUCCGACCGAUUCGAAUCUCGCGCGGCGCGACGAAAGCGCCGGAAAGCGAGCUGGGUUCGAGGCUCGCUCGCUCGCAAGUCCGUGGAUGUGAACCUUUGUUUUGUACAUUUGCACAAAAGUAAUGGCUACCACAUCUAGUUUUCGAGUAAUGUUUUCCGCGGAGAGCCCGGAUUCCCGUGUUUAUCGCGGUAUUUAAUAACGCAAGAUCGGCUUGCGCAACGCAUCGGCGUCGGCCGAGAUGCGUGCGGUAUCUAUACACGAGCUGUUUCGACUGCCUUAGUGUCAUUUUCGUCGAAAAAUGCCUGUGUUUACAUCCGAAUUGCGACCGAGCUUCUGUGUUCCUGUCACAUUAAGUUGGUUUUAGGUGGUUCUUGUUGAAAAUUGAUUCUAAAUCCAAUGGAAGUUUCUUGUGGCAAUAAUAGAAUAAAUCAAUCAUCUAAAAUGAAAAUGAAACCAUUCGCUGUACCUCUCUGGAAGAGAUACUUAAGUUUCUUUAAGUAACUAUAGGAAGGCCUCCAAACACAUUUGCCCAAGGAUUACUAUCAGACAUUUGUCUUGAAUAAAAUUUAUUAUCAACACAAAUCAAGACGCAACAAUUUCUGGCAUUAUGUCUUUUUUU